GUCUUCUUAGAGGGACUUUUGGUGACUAACUACAGGAAGUUGGGGGCAAUAACCGGUCUGUGAUGCACUUAGAUGUCCUGGGCCGCACGCGCGUUACACUGAUGCAUUCAACGAGUUCUUCCUUGGCCGAGAGGCCUGGGCAAUCUUUUGAACGUGCAUCGUGAUAGGGAUAGAUUAUUGCAAUUAUUAAUCUUGAACGAGGAAUUCCUAGUAAUCGCAGUUCAUCAAACUGCAAUGAUUACGUCCCUGCCCUUUGUACACACCGCCCGUCGCACCUACCGAUUGAAUGGUCCGGUGAGG
rnacentral:rRNA from 16 species